UACAGAGACUGCAAGCGUUAUUCGGAUUCACUGGGCGUAAAGGGUGCGCAGGCGGCCGGGUGUGUCAGAUGUGAAAUCCCGAGGCUUAACCUCGGAACUGCGUCUGAAACUACUCGGCUAGAGUACUGGAGAGGGUAACGGAAUUCACGGUGUAGCAGUGAAAUGCGUAGAUAUCGUGAGGAACACCAGAGGCGAAGGCGGUUACCUGGACAGUUACUGACGCUCAGGCACGAAAGCAUGGGGAGCGAACAGG
rnacentral:rRNA from 1 species